rnacentral:rRNA from 1 species
CAGUAACGGCGAGUGAAGCGGCAACAGCUCAAAUUUGAAAUCUGGCCCCCAGGGCCCGAGUUGUACUUUGCAGAGGAUGCUUUGGGCGAGGUGCCUUCCGAGUUCCCUGGAACGGGACGCCAUAGAGGGUGAGAGCCCCGUCUGGUCGGACACCGAGCCUGUGUAAAGCUCCUUCGACGAGUCGAGUAGUUUGGGAAUGCUGCUCAAAAUGGGAGGUAUAUGUCUUCUAAAGCUAAAUAUUGGCCAGAGACCGAUAGCGCACAAGUAGAGUGAUCGAAAGAUGAAAAGCACUUUGAAAAGAGGGUUAAAAAGUACGUGAAAUUGUUGAAAGGGAAGCGCCUAUGACCAGACUUGGGCCCGGUGAAUCAUCCAGCGUUCUCGCUGGUGCACUUUGCCGGGCACAGGCCAGCAUCAGUUUGGCGCGGGGGACAAAGGCUUCGGGAAUGUAGCUCCCUCGGGAGUGUUAUAGCCCGCUGCGCAAUGCCCUGCGCCGGACUGAGGUACGCGCAUCGCAAGGAUGCUGGCGUAAUGGUCAUCAGCGACCCGUCUUGAAACACGGACCAAGGAGUCGUCUUCGUAUGCGAGUGUUCGGGUGUCAAACCCCUACGCGUAAUGAAAGUGAACGCAGGUGAGAGCUUCGGCGCAUCAUCGACCGAUCCUGAUGUUCUCGGAUGGAUUUGAGUAAGAGCAUACGGGGCCGGACCCGAAAGAAGGUGAACUAUGCCUGUAUAGGGUGAAGCCAGAGGAAACUCUGGUGGAGGCUCGCAGCGGUUCUGACGUGCGAAUCGAUCGUCAAAUAUGGGCAUGGGGGCGAAAGACUAAUCGAACCUUCUAGUAGCUGGUUUC